rnacentral:tRNA from 1 species
AGAAAGAUGCCUGAUUAAAGGAAUAUUCUGAUAGGAUAUAUAAAGAAAAUAUAAAAUUUCUCUUUCUA